rnacentral:lncRNA from 1 species
UCCAUUGACAAAAGCCUUACAGUGCAAAAUAUUCAAAGAACAUGUUCUUAGAAUGGGGCUUGUGAGCAAGUCAUAAAGGAUAUGGUGAUGCAUGUUUAUGUGGAUGCUAUUAUUGACAUUUUACUUAAUUAAAGUUAUCUGUUUCUGCUAUCCUGUUUACAUUUAUGUUUAUGCAUAUUAUGGUUGAAUGUAAUAACAGGAUUGUCUUGACAAGACAAAUUACAGGGGUCAUUAUGGACUAUGUUAGGAAAGACUAACAAUGUUGUGGUACAUAGAAGGGAGUAUGAAAUUGAUGAAAUACAACCGCUAUGACUCGCAUUGAUAGUUGGACUUAAUUUAGUAUUAUUGUGUUUAUUUGACUUAUUGGCUUAUUUUAAAACAUGGCCAUGUAUAAAAUGCUUUUCAAAAUUUUUGGAAUCCAAUUAGGUAAAAUUGUUUUCAAACAAAUUUUGUUUUGUUUGUUUU